ensembl:lncRNA
GGCCUUAUUGUCUGGAACAAAGCUCUUCUGUUAGUCACUAUUGUAACUUAUUAUUUAUUCGCCAUAGUAUCUUAGGUGAGAAGACAGUACGGUCAAUUUCAAAAAAUGCAAUUCUUACCAAAAAUACACUCCUUUGUGCUACAAAAUGUUUCUCAUCUCACUAGCAUCCUAGCGGUAGGUAGUGCUGAUACACCCAUUCCUCCGAAGAGAAAGCCAGGGAAUUACAAACUUAUUUAUUUACAAAAUGCAUAGUCAGAACAAGGGUGAACGGAGAUUCCCAGCCCAGAAAUUAUGUUUCCAUAAAUGUCCUGUGCUCUAGGUAGGUAGUGAGAGUUAGGCACGAAACACAAAAUAAAGAAGAGAAAGAGUUACAAAUUCAACGCAAACACAUCCGAAAUGGCACACCGGGGACAGGAACUGGUCCAGCAGCUUAAAUGAGUCAAGAUAAACGAGUAGCACAAGAAAGUGAGUUCCCACUUUAGCAUGAUUGAUAAUCUGAGCCAUCCUCUAACAAAUGAGAGGCGGGUCGGGCAGUUUAUGUAUUUUAGCAUAAUAGACGCCGGCCUUCAAGAAUAAAUUGGCCCGCCAAAGCCCAACAACUCCCAGGCUCAAACCCUGGUUGGAGGUUGGAGCCGGCAAGGGAUGGUGUGGUGUGCUACUAUGUCCGGUGUGGCCCCGGAAAGAUGCAGCGAGAUUCUCGGUGGCUGCGACCUUCGCAGAGGAGUCUGGGACUGAACUGGUGUGGCUAUUGCCACCGCCGCUGCUCCCGGAGGCUGGGGGCUGGAGGCCACAGGGCAGCAUCUGUCGACCGAAGGGGAGAGGGUUAGCAGAGGUAAACACAAUGCCUUUUUCCGGCUCAAAACCAGGGUUUAAAAAAAGGCAGGGAGCUACCAGUGGCGCGGAAACAGCAGAACCGAAAUGACAGGGGACCACGAGGAGGAGGAGGGACCGAACUACAGGCGACUGCUGAUGACGUCCAGGAGCAGGGGCUUGUCGCUGUUUCCGGCACCACCACCAAGAAUCUUGCUGCAUCUUUCCGGGGCCACAACGGACAUAGUAACACACUGCACCAUCCCUUGCCGCCUCCAACCUCCAACCAGGGUUUGAAUCAUGCUCCCCGCAUGAUUCCACUGUGUUUUCGUUUUUUUUUUUUCAUUUAAAUUAGAACCAAGAUUGUUUUACAUGGCAAUCCAGUUCCCUCUCCCUCCCCUCCUCCCCUGCCCCCACCCCCUAUCCCAACCCCUUUCUGCUCCCCACGGAGACGCCACCCUGUUUUAGCUCCAGGUGCAGUAACUAUCUGGGGAGAUGAGUAGCACAUAAGAUCCAAAGUAGUGCAUUCUAUAGACAGGCAGAGCCUGUUCGGGACAAUCAGUUUCACUCUUUGUGGAAAUCCCUCUUUUGAACAGGAGUAUCACAGGCAUGGGUUUUGCUGACUUAUUUGAUAGGCAUCUGCAAACAAUACACAGCAGGAAAUCUGACACCUAUCAGAUAACCUAAGCACACAUGAAAAAAAAUCCCAACUUUUUCUUCAUUAAAAAUGUUAAAGUGUGACUAGGUUACUUACCUUGCCUCAGGAUGUUUCUUCGAGUUCCAUCCAUUUGCCUGAGAAUUUCAAGAUUCCA